GACGAACGCUGGCGGCGUGCUUAACACAUGCAAGUCGAACGGAAAGGCCCUGCUUUUGUGGGGUGCUCGAGUGGCGAACGGGUGAGUAACACGUGAGUAACCUGCCCUUGACUUUGGGAUAACUUCAGGAAACUGGGGCUAAUACCGGAUAGGAGCUCCUGCUGCAUGGUGGGGGUUGGAAAGUUUCGGCGGUUGGGGAUGGACUCGCGGCUUAUCAGCUUGUUGGUGGGGUAGUGGCUUACCAAGGCUUUGACGGGUAGCCGGCCUGAGAGGGUGACCGGCCACAUUGGGACUGAGAUACGGCCCAGACUCCUACGGGAGGCAGAAGUGGGGAAUAUUGCACAAUGGGGGGAAGCCUGAUGCAGCAACGCCGCGUUCGGGAUGACGGCCUUCGGGUUGUAAACCGCUUUCGCCUGUGACGAAGCGUGAGUGACGGUAAUGGGUAAAGAAGCACCGGCUAACUACGUG
rnacentral:rRNA from 1 species